rnacentral:lncRNA from 1 species
AAAGGUAUUGAAAAUGAUUAAGUGUAGGGACUUUAAAGGUGACUUGGUAGAUUGAAAGUGGUUAUGCUUGGUGACUUGGUAGGUUGAAAAUGAUUAAGUGUAGGGACUUUAAAGGUAUUUUUUAUUUUGGAUGUGGUUGAAAAUGAUUAAGUGUAGGGACUUUAAAGGUGACUUGGUAGGUUGAAAAUGGUUAUGCUUGGUGACUUGGU